rnacentral:rRNA from 1 species
GACGAACGCUGGCGGCGUGCUUAACACAUGCAAGUCGAACGGAAAGGCCCUGCUUUUGUGGGGUGCUCGAGUGGCGAACGGGUGAGUAACACGUGAGUAACCUGCCCUUGACUUUGGGAUAACUUCAGGAAACUGGGGCUAAUACCGGAUAGGAGCUCCUGCUGCAUGGUGGGGGUUGGAAAGUUUCGGCGGUUGGGGAUGGACUCGCGGCUUAUCAGCUUGUUGGUGGGGUAGUGGCUUACCAAGGCUUUGACGGGUAGCCGGCCUGAGAGGGUGACCGGCUACAUUGGGACUGAGAUACAGCCCAGACUCCUACGGGAGGCAGCAGUGGGGAAUAGUGCACAAUGGGCGGAAGCCUGAUGCAGCAACGCCGCGUGCGGGAUGACGGCCUUCGGGUUGUAAACCGCUUUCGCCUGUGACGAAGCGUGAGUGACGGUAAUGGGUAAAGAAGCACCGGCUAACUACGUG